UUGGCUUUCAAGAAGACAGUGAUUGAAGAUGAAAAUGAAGAGAUGAAAGAUGUCUGUAAUGUUGAAGAAGAAAAUGAUGGUGAUGAUUCUAGUGAUGAAGAUUGGGGAAAGAAUCCAGAGAUGGACCUCAGUGAUGAGGAUGAUAUGGAGUUGGAGGAUGAGGAAGAAGAGGAUAAUAUCAAGGUUGACAAAAAAGAAAAGCAGAGUGGGAAGAGUGAAUCAAGGAAAAGGAAGGCCUGCGGAGCUGGAAAGCUGGGUUGCGGGAAGAAGAGCGAGGUUGUUGGGGAUGUGAGUAAAGAAGAAUUGAAAGUUUCA
rnacentral:misc_RNA from 1 species